GACGAACGCUGGCGGCGUGCCUAAUACAUGCAAGUCGAACGCUUCUUUCCUCCCGAGUGCUUGCACUCAAUUGGAAAGAGGAGUGGCGGACGGGUGAGUAACACGUGGGUAACCUACCCAUCAGAGGGGGAUAACACUUGGAAACAGGUGCUAAUACCGCAUAACAGUUUAUGCCGCAUGGCAUAAGAGUGAAAGGCGCUUUCGGGUGUCGCUGAUGGAUGGACCCGCGGUGCAUUAGCUAGUUGGUGAGGUAACGGCUCACCAAGGCCACGAUGCAUAGCCGACGUGAGAGGGGGAUCGGCCACACUGGGAGUGAGACACGGCCCAGACUCCUACGGGAGGCAGCAGUAGGGAAUCUUCGGCAAUGGACGAAAGUCUGACCGAGCAACGCCGCGUGAGUGAAGAAGGUUUUCGGAUCGUAAAACUCUGUUGUUAGAGAAGAACAAGGACGUUAGUAACUGAACGUCCCCUGACGGUAUCUAACCAGAAAGCCACGGCUAACUACGUG
rnacentral:rRNA from 1 species